UAGUUGGUGGGGUAAAGGCCUACCAGGGCGACGAUCAGUAGCGGGUCUGAGAGGAUGAUCCGUCACACUGGAACUGAGACACGGUCCAGACUCCUACGGGAGGCAGCAGUGGGGAAUUUUGGACAAUGGGGGCAACCCUGAUCCAGCCAUUCCGCGUGAGUGAAGAAGGCCUUCGGGUUGUAAAGCUCUUUCAGCCGGAACGAAACGGUACGCCUUAAUACGGUGUGCUAAUGACGGUACCGGCAGAAGAAGCACCGGCUAACUACGUGCCAGCAGCCGCGGUAAUACGUAGGGUGCGAGCGUUAAUCGGAAUUACUGGGCGUAAAGCGUGCGCAGGCGGAUUGUUAAGCAAGAUGUGAAAUCCCCGGGCUUAACCUGGGAAUGGCAUUUUGAACUGGCAGUCUAGAGUGUGUCAGAGGGGGGUGGAAUUCCACGUGUAGCAGUGAAAUGCGUAGAUAUGUGGAGGAACACCAAUGGCGAAGGCAGCCCCCUGGGAUAACACUGACGCUCAUGUACGAAAGCGUGGGUAGCAAACAGGAUUAGAUACCCUGGUAGUCCACGCCCUAAACGAUGUCAACUGGUUGUUGGGGGAGUGAAAUCCCUUAGUAACGAAGCUAACGCGUGAAGUUGACCGCCUGGGGAGUACGGUCGCAAGAUUAAAACUCAAAGGAAUUGACGGGGACCCGCACAAGCGGUGGAUGAUGUGGAUUAAUUCGAUGCAACGCGAAAAACCUUACCUACCCUUGACAUGUCCAGAAUCCUGCAGAGAUGCGGGAGUGCCCGAAAGGGAAUUGGAACACAGGUGCUGCAUGGCUGUCGUCAGCUCGUGUCGUGAGAUGUUGGGUUAAGUCCCGCAACGAGCGCAACCCUUAUCAUUAGUUGCUACGCAAGGGCACUCUAAUGAGACUGCCGG
rnacentral:rRNA from 1 species